rnacentral:rRNA from 1 species
AGAGUUUGAUCCUGGCUCAGAUUGAACGCUGGCGGCAUGCCUUACACAUGCAAGUCGAACGGCAGCAUGGAGAGCUUGCUCUCUGAUGGCGAGUGGCGAACGGGUGAGUAAUACAUCGGAACGUGUCCGUUUGUGGGGGACAACCGUCCGAAAGGAUGGCUAAUACCGCAUAAGACCUGAGGGUGAAAGCCGGGGACCGCAAGGCCCGGCGCAGACGGAGCGGCCGAUGAUUGAUUAGCUAGUUGGGGAGGUAAAGGCUCACCAAGGCGACGAUCAAUAGCUGGUCUGAGAGGACGACCAGCCACACUGGAACUGAGACACGGUCCAGACUCCUACGGGAGGCAGCAGUGGGGAAUUUUGGACAAUGGGGGCAACCCUGAUCCAGCCAUGCCGCGUGCGGGAAGAAGGCCUUCGGGUUGUAAACCGCUUUUGUCAGGGACGAAAAGCUCCGGAGUAAUAUGCCGGAGUGCUGACGGUACCUGAAGAAUAAGCACCGGCUAACUACGUGCCAGCAGCCGCGGUAAUACGUAGGGUGCGAGCGUUAAUCGGAAUUACUGGGCGUAAAGCGUGCGCAGGCGGUUGGGUAAGACAGAUGUGAAAUCCCCGGGCUUAACCUGGGAACUGCAUUUGUGACUGUCCGACUGGAGUACGUCAGAGGGGGGUGGAAUUCCACGUGUAGCAGUGAAAUGCGUAGAUAUGUGGAAGAACACCGAUGGCGAAGGCAGCCCCCUGGGACGCAACUGACGCUCAUGCACGAAAGCGUGGGGAGCAAACAGGAUUAGAUACCCUGGUAGUCCACGCCCUAAACGAUGUCUGCUGGUUGUUGGGAAUUUAAUUCUCAGUAACGAAGCCAACGCGUGAAGCAGACCGCCUGGGGAGUACGGUCGCAAGAUUAAAACUCAAAGGAAUUGACGGGGACCCG